rnacentral:misc_RNA from 1 species
GGUAUCCAUGACCCAUUAAGAGUUCCUAUUUCAACCCUGGAGCGGGUCACUUUUGGCUUGGCUGCUGGGGAUUGGGUACGCUUGAAGAAGGAAGACAAAAAGCACUCACCAGUGGGUAUACUUCAUUCCAUCGGUCGUGAUGGAAGUGUAGCUGUGGGAUUUAUAGGAGUGGAAGCGUUUUGGAGAGGCAAUUCUUCAGAGCUUCAGAUGGCAGAAUCCUNAUUGUGUGGGUCAGUUUGUUAGGUUGAAAGCUAGUGUUCUCAGCCCUCGAUUUGAAUGGCCUCGUAAGAGACGAGGGGCCUGGGCUACAGGGAAGAUUUGGCAGAUCCUUCCAAAUGGAUGCCUCAUUGUCAAGUUUCCAGGGAGGUUAAGCUUUGGAGAGGAAUAUAGCACUUUUUUGGCUGAUCCAGCUGAAGUGGAAGCAGUUUCUUUUAAAACUUGCCCUGGAAUGGUUAAAAAAUAUCAACAUCUCGAGGAUUUUCAUUGGGCUGUGAGACCGCUUCUGGUAGCGUUGGGUCUGUUCACUGCUAUGAAAGUAGGAUUUUUGGUGGGUAGGAAAAUGGGGAGGUCCAGAGGGAAGAAGCUACAGAGUAGUGUGCUGCUAAAUGAUGGUCAACAUAUGGAUGGCCAGAGUAGUGGCAACCAAGCAUGGUUUCCACCAUCUGUGGCAAAUAUCCUUGGUGUUAGCACUGGUGCUGCCAGGUAGUUAUGCUUCUUAAGCUUGCAAAUAUCUACAGAUAGCUAAUUAUAGCUAAUACAGGGCAUUUAACUAACUUUUUCUGCUGAUUAUAGUGGGAGCUGGUACUACAGCUAAAUUAGUCAUUUACGUUCUGUAUACUUGGAUUGGAUGUUGACAAAUAUAGUGUAGGGUACCUUUAUGCAUGUGCAGAGCUUUCGCUUUAAAAAAAAAAA